rnacentral:rRNA from 1 species
GGGUUGUGAGGUUAAGCGACUAAGCGUACACGGUGGAUGCCCUGGCAGUCAGAGGCGAUGAAGGACGUGCUAAUCUGCGAUAAGCGUCGGUAAGGUGAUAUGAACCGUUAUAACCGGCGAUUUCCGAAUGGGGAAACCCAGUGUGAUUCGUCACACUAUCAUUAACUGAAUCCAUAGGUUAAUGAGGCGAACCGGGGGAACUGAAACAUCUAAGUACCCCGAGGAAAAGAAAUCAACCGAGAUUCCCCCAGUAGCGGCGAGCGAACGGGGAGCAGCCCAGAGCCUGAAUCAGUGUGUGUGUUAGUGGAAGCGUCUGGAAAGGCGCGCGAUACAGGGUGACAGCCCCGUACACAAAAAUGCACAUACUGUGAGCUCGAUGAGUAGGGCGGGACACGUGGUAUCCUGUCUGAAUAUGGGGGGACCAUCCUCCAAGGCUAAAUACUCCUGACUGACCGAUAGUGAACCAGUACCGUGAGGGAAAGGCGAAAAGAACCCCGGCGAGGGGAGUGAAAAAGAACCUGAAACCGUGUACGUACAAGCAGUGGGAGCACGCUUAGGCGUGUGACUGCGUACCUUUUGUAUAAUGGGUCAGCGACUUAUAUUCUGUAGCAAGGUUAACCGAAUAGGGGAGCCGAAGGGAAACCGAGUCUUAACUGGGCGUUAAGUUGCAGGGUAUAGACCCGAAACCCGGUGAUCUAGCCAUGGGCAGGUUGAAGGUUGGGUAACACUAACUGGAGGACCGAACCGACUAAUGUUGAAAAAUUAGCGGAUGACUUGUGGCUGGGGGUGAAAGGCCAAUCAAACCGGGAGAUAGCUGGUUCUCCCCGAAAGCUAUUUAGGUAGCGCCUCGUGAAUUCAUCUCCGGGGGUAGAGCACUGUUUCGGCAAGGGGGUCAUCCCGACUUACCAACCCGAUGCAAACUGCGAAUACCGGAGAAUGUUAUCACGGGAGACACACGGCGGGUGCUAACGUCCGUCGUGAAGAGGGAAACAACCCAGACCGCCAGCUAAGGUCCCAAAGUCAUGGUUAAGUGGGAAACGAUGUGGGAAGGCCCAGACAGCCAGGAUGUUGGCUUAGAAGCAGCCAUCAUUUAAAGAAAGCGUAAUAGCUCACUGGUCGAGUCGGCCUGCGCGGAAGAUGUAACGGGGCUAAACCAUGCACCGAAGCUGCGGCAGCGACGCUUAUGCGUUGUUGGGUAGGGGAGCGUUCUGUAAGCCUGCGAAGGUGUGCUGUGAGGCAUGCUGGAGGUAUCAGAAGUGCGAAUGCUGACAUAAGUAACGAUAAAGCGGGUGAAAAGCCCGCUCGCCGGAAGACCAAGGGUUCCUGUCCAACGUUAAUCGGGGCAGGGUGAGUCGACCCCUAAGGCGAGGCCGAAAGGCGUAGUCGAUGGGAAACAGGUUAAUAUUCCUGUACUUGGUGUUACUGCGAAGGGGGGACGGAGAAGGCUAUGUUGGCCGGGCGACGGUUGUCCCGGUUUAAGCGUGUAGGCUGGUUUUCCAGGCAAAUCCGGAAAAUCAAGGCUGAGGCGUGAUGACGAGGCACUACGGUGCUGAAGCAACAAAUGCCCUGCUUCCAGGAAAAGCCUCUAAGCAUCAGGUAACAUCAAAUCGUACCCCAAACCGACACAGGUGGUCAGGUAGAGAAUACCAAGGCGCUUGAGAGAACUCGGGUGAAGGAACUAGGCAAAAUGGUGCCGUAACUUCGGGAGAAGGCACGCUGAUAUGUAGGUGAAGUCCCUCGCGGAUGGAGCUGAAAUCAGUCGAAGAUACCAGCUGGCUGCAACUGUUUAUUAAAAACACAGCACUGUGCAAACACGAAAGUGGACGUAUACGGUGUGACGCCUGCCCGGUGCCGGAAGGUUAAUUGAUGGGGUCAGCGCAAGCGAAGCUCUUGAUCGAAGCCCCGGUAAACGGCGGCCGUAACUAUAACGGUCCUAAGGUAGCGAAAUUCCUUGUCGGGUAAGUUCCGACCUGCACGAAUGGCGUAAUGAUGGCCAGGCUGUCUCCACCCGAGACUCAGUGAAAUUGAACUCGCUGUGAAGAUGCAGUGUACCCGCGGCAAGACGGAAAGACCCCGUGAACCUUUACUAUAGCUUGACACUGAACAUUGAGCCUUGAUGUGUAGGAUAGGUGGGAGGCUUUGAAGUGUGGACGCCAGUCUGCAUGGAGCCG